GAUAGUUUUUAUCUCAAUAUUAUUUUUUGCAUUGCAAUUGUUGUAAUGAAGAAAGUUAUAGAAUUUUCGAGAAAUGUUCAAAGGUAUAAAAUGCGAAGUUCGGUACGACGUAAAUUCAGAAAAUAUAUAUGUUGAUGAAUUUUCAAACCAUUUAAAUGAGCCAAAAUUACCACUAUCACUUGGUUUAAAUCCUCCAAAAUAAUUUAAUUUUAAUAACACACUUACAAAAAAAAAAAGCUACUGCUGCUACUAUUGAUAUUAAGGUCAUGGGUGACAAAGCUUUGUAUUUAUCGCACACAACAAACAAUGACAUUAGAUAUACACAAAGUAUAUAUAAUUCAUUAAAAAUAUGUUCAACUACUGAUAUGU